GAACACCAAAUAUAGGCAGGAAUUGCAGAAGGCCACAGCGAAAUAGUUGGACCUGCUGCGACCAUUGGUAUUUGGUAGCACCACAAAAGGAUCUCUUCUAUUUUACCUUUCAUCUUCCUCCAUAUUAAGAACAUUUUUCUCCUUUGCUUUCUUUAUUUGGAAUUGGUAUAGGCCACCACUAUACUAAGAUUACCAAAGAAAAAGAAAGCCGUACGGACAAGAAAAACUGUCGAAUCCCUUCCCCACACGGCGGCUGGAGCGCUUCUCCUAUCUUCGCAUCCUCUAACUCUUGCUUGCCGGUGGUGCAACAUAACCGCCUCUGUAAAUAACAGUAAUAUA
rnacentral:misc_RNA from 1 species